GUUUCCAACAGUGGCUUUCUCCCGAAACAUUUCCCACCUAGACAACAAUUUUAACAUUAUAAAAAACAUACAUAGUUAGCUUAACCAAAAACAAACUUAGCGUUCUGUUGGGGUUGGUGUCAUUUGCUUGAAUGAAAUUUCCCAAAAACUCGUGUGGUUGCAGACUUUGAUCAUGUCGAGCUGAUCGAGCUGAUCGAGCUGGGAGACCAUUUAUACCAGCUGGGCACACCCAGCUGGAUUUUCACCAGGGAUUGCUGAGCUUCUUGAAAUUUAAUCAGGUGAAUAACAUCUAACACGGAGCAUAAUCUUGGACUCACACUGUAACUUUUCGGAUUGUGAUGUUACAUUAUAAUGCUAUUGCACCGUGCAUGUGUAUGUUUUUGAUGGUACAGGCUUUGAGAGGUUUGGAUGGAGGGCACGGGGCUGGUGUCUGGGUGUAAGUUAGCCAAGAUCAUCAACGCCACUUAUCGGAGCUGUAAGCUACUAUUUUACUCAUGGCUUUUUCAGCUGUGAAUUCUUACACUGACUAUCGCAAUAUUUCUAUUAGAAAUUACAUUAAGAUACACAUUUUCCACAUAAAUGUGAAUGGAAAAAGUUACCAUCUGGAUUGCUAAUAUCCUAUAUGGUAUCAGAAUUAUCCAUCCAGAAUUACUGGCACCCCGGAAAUGAGCAAAAAUGUGUGUGUGUGUAUAUAUACAUACAUACAUACAUACUGCUGUGAAAAAUUACAUACAUACAUAUUGCUGUGAAAAAUUUGCAGAAUUCAUGUUUCCUGGGCAAGUUGCCCAGGCCCUGAAGCAACAAAGCAUCUCCUCACCAUCACACUGCCACCAUCAUGCUUGACCGUAGGUAUGAUGUUCUUUUUGUGGGAUUCAGUGUUUGGUUUGCGCCAGAUUUGUCUUCCAAACAGUUCGACUUUCGACUCAUCAAUCCAUAGAAUAUUCCCCCAAAAGGUUUGAGGAUCAUUAAGGUGUGUUUUGGCAAAAUUCAGACAAGGCUUAAUGUUCUUCUGGGUUAUCAGUGGUUUUCACCUCAUCACUCUUCCAUAGAUGCCAUUUUUGCCCAGUGUCUUUCUGAUAGUGGAGUCAUGAACAGUGACCUUUAUUGAUGCGAGAGAGGCCUGUAGUGUCUUUGAUAUUCUCCUUGGCUCUUUUGUGACUUCCUGGAUGAGUCGUUGCUGUGCUCUUGGAGGAAUUUUGGAAGUCGGCCACUUCUUGGAGGUUCACCACUGUACUGUGCUCCAAAGUUUUUACCAUUUGGAGCUCUCACUGUGGUUCUUUGGAGUCCCAGAGACUUUGAAAUAACUUUGUAACCCUUCCCAGACUGAUGUAUUUCAAUCACCUUCUUCCUCAUCAUUUCUGGAAUUUCUUUCAACUUUGGCAUAGUGUGUUACUGGGUUAAGACCUUUUACCAGCUUCAUUCUGUUGAAAAAGUUCUAUUUAAGUGUAGAUGUGAUUGAACAGGGUUUGCAGUAAUCAGGUCUGGUUGUGUCUAGUUCAGCUGAACACCAUUAUGAAUGCAGUUUCAUAGAUUUGGGGAUUUAGUAACUAUGGGGGCAAAUACAUUUUCACACAGGCCCAGUUGGUAUUGGAAAACUUUUUUUCCUUCAAUAAAUAACACUGUCAUUUAAAAACUGUAUUUUGUGUUUACCCAGGUUGCCUUUGUUUUAUCUUAGAUUUUGUUUUAAUUUCUGAAAACAAUUUGGUAUGAGAUAUACACAAAACCAGAAGAAAUCAAUACACGGUGU
ensembl:lncRNA